rnacentral:rRNA from 1 species
AUUGAACGCUGGCGGAAUGCUUUACACAUGCAAGUCGAACGGUAACAGGUCUUCGGAUGCUGACGAGUGGCGAACGGGUGAGUAAUAUAUCGGAACGUGCCAGUCGUGGGGGAUAACGUAGCGAAAGUUACGCUAAUACCGCAUACGAUCUACGGAUGAAAGCGGGGGAUCGCAAGACCUCGCGCGAUUGGAGCGGCCGAUAUCAGAUUAGGUAGUUGGUGGGGUAAAGGCUCACCAAGCCAACGAUCUGUAGCUGGUCUGAGAGGACGACCAGCCACACGGGAACUGAGGCACGGUCCAGACUCCUACGGGAGGCAGCAGUGGGGAAUUUUGGACAAUGGACGCAAGUCUGAUCCAGCCAUUCCGCGUGCAGGAUGAGGGCCCUCGGGUUGUAAACUGCUUUUGUACGGAACGAAAAGGUUUCCAUUAAUACUGGGAGCUCAUGACGGUACCGUAAGAAUAAGCACCGGCUAACUACGUGCCAGCAGCCGCCGUAA